rnacentral:rRNA from 1 species
UGUCGAUGAAGAGCGCAGCAAACUGUGUGAAUUAAUGUGAACUGCAACCUGCCAUGAACAUCGACAACUUGAUUGCACAUUGCGGCCAUGGGUUAGCCUGUGGCCACGUCUGUCCGAGAGUC